rnacentral:lncRNA from 1 species
UUAGUGAUUAAAUUAUUUUUAUUAUCUCUUAUGGAAAGACUAUGAUCUUUCAUGUGAAUGUAAUAGCCCUUCUCUAAGAGUUGCCCCAAACUCAAUAUAUUAUUUUUUACGUUGGGCACAUAGUAGACAUUUGAGAUAAAUUGGUGAUUUCCAUUCUUCAAGCGGAUUAGGAUGUUACCUUUGCCUUUCACUGGUAUUUUGGAUUCAUCNNNN